UUCCCCGUUUGAUGUUCUAUUUUUAUAUUUUGUUGUAAGUAACGGUUCGCCAAAACCGUCGAUUGCUUAGUACCCAAUUAAUUUACCAUAGAUAUUUAAAUUAGAACUGAUAACGGGUUUUUUG
rnacentral:sRNA from 17 species